GAAGCUUUAUCUUUCACAUCUUUUUCAAAACCUAGAGAUCCUUUACUACUCACACGUCCAAAUUUAACGGUUCAGUAUUUUUAACAUCUCCUGGAAUAAGAAGAGACUAUAAGAUCUUGAGCUCAAAUCCUCAGAGUCGGUUCUGUUCGAAUCUGCUGUGGCAAUGGAAACUCGGAUUCUUCUCGUUCUUUCGUUAUCAGCGGUUCUUCUCUUCAGUGGCUUCUGCUCUGCAGUUCCUCCCAAUGACUCCUCUAUGAAAAACGAAGAUCUCGACGAAGAUCUUAGUUUCCUUAAGGAAGAUGACGAAGAAUCUUACCUCGAUAACCACUCGGCUUCAUAUCCGAAGUACCCCACUGAUGAAGGUUAUGAAGAUUUCGACGAAAUGUAUUCCGAUCAGGAGUCUUAUUCGCAGCCGGAGUUUGACGAGAAGGAUGUUAUCGUACUGAAAGAUGAGAAUUUCACUGAUUUCUUGGAGAAGAAUCGGUACGUUAUGGUGGAAUUUUACGCGCCAUGGUGCGGACACUGCCUGGCUCUUGCCCCGGAGUACGCCGCAGCUGCGACUGAGUUGAAAGGAGUGGCCGCACUCGCGAAGGUGGACGCCUCUGAGGAAAAGGAAUUGGCGCAGAAGUAUUAUGUGCAGGGGUUCCCGACUCUCUACUUUUUCAUUGAUGGAGUUCACAAGCUUUAUCCAGGCCAAAGAACCAAAGAUGCUAUUGUGACUUGGGUUAAGAAGAAGACUGGACCUAGUGUUUACAACAUAACCACAACAGAGGAUGCAGAGCGGAUAUUGAAUAUUGAAGAUAAAUUGGUUUUGGCUUUUCUUGACUCUCUUGUGGGUCCUGAAAGUAAUGAGCUGUCUGCUGCCUCAAAAGGUGAAGAUGAUGUUAGCUUCUACCAAACUGCCAGCCCUGAUGUGGCCAAGCUGUUCCAUCUCGACCCUAAGGUUAAACGUCCUGCUCUGGUCUUGCUGAAGAAAGAGGCAGAGAAACUAAGCCACUAUGAUGGCCAAUUUACCAAUUCUUCUAUAGUUGAGUUUGUGGUUGACAACAAGCUUCCUUUGGUGACCACAUUUACUAGGGAAAGUGCUCCUUUGAUUUUUGAGAGUCCAAUUAAGAAACAGCUUUUGUUGUUUGCCACUUCAAACAGUUCAGAGAAACUUAUUCCAACAUUUCAAGAGGCGGCAAAAAUUUUCAAGGGAAAGCUUAUUGUAGUCUAUAUUGAAAUGGACAAUGAAGAUGUUGGGGGACAAGUUUCAGAUUUCUUUGGUGUCACUGGAGAUGGUCCACAUCUUCUCGCGUACAAUGGAAAUGAUGAUGGCAAGAAGUACAUAUUUGAUGGUGAAGUGACUUUAGACCGUAUUAAGGCAUUUGCAGAGGAUUUCCUGGAAGACAAGCUUAAGCCUUUCUAUAAGUCAGAUCCAAUUCCUGAGGCUAAUGACGGAAAUGUAAAAAUAGUGGUUGGAAAAAACUUUGAUGAGAUUGUGUUGGAUGAGUCGAAGGAUGUUCUCCUUGAGAUCUAUGCACCAUGGUGUGGGCACUGCCUAGAACUAGAGCCCAUUUACAACAAACUUGCAAAGCAUCUGCGGAGCAUUGAUUCUAUUGUCCUUGCCAAGAUGGAUGGAACAACCAACGAGCACCCAAGAGCAAAGGUUGAUGGAUUCCCCACGCUCCUCUUUUUCCCUGCAGGAAAUAAGAGUUCUGAUCCGACUACUGUUGAAACUGACAGAACGGAGGAGGGACUCUAUAAAUUCAUCAAGAAGCAUGCAUCGAUUCCUUUCAAGCUUCAGAAACCAACUGGCACUCCAAAAUCUGGUAGUGCUGAUGCUAGUGGAAGCGAGAAGAGCAGUAGUGAAGACUUGAAGGAUGAAUUGUGAAUUAGUGGGAUAUGCUUAUUUAUUUUAGCCAUCAAUCAGAUUAUAUAGGGAGGGAAGAGUCGGUGGAUUAGUGAGACAACAGGGAGACGAAUCUCAGUUCUCCAUGUAUCAAGUUUUCAUAGAAUAGGAACCCCACGAGCUUCUAGAACUAAAAGUGAGAAAGCUGUGCUUCUUAGAGAGAAGGCUGAAGAAUAAUGGGCACCUUGCUUCCAAAGAAGAAAAUCCAUUAAACCAUGUGCAGUAGCCGAGUUUGCUCUUAUUCCUUGUUGCAUUGAAUCAAAUUUAAGAGUCUGUAGCUUAACCAUGUGGCCCACAAUAUACAACGAAUUGUUUUGUCA